UCAUAGAAGUAUAGAUAUUUUGUAAUAAUGUAGAAAUCAAAUAAAAUAUUCUAACAAUGAAAGCUUUGGGGAGAUUUCAAGUGCAACGUAAUAUGUAAAUUGUAUACUAUGUAUAAGUGAAACAAAGAUGAUAAUUUUGGCAAAUUUAAAAAGAAGAAGAAAAAAAGAAGGGCCAGCACAACAGGGACACCAAAGCAGCAAUCAUGGUUCCUGCAGAGAAUGUGAUCACACCGUCGAGUCAUUACCAUUCCAUUACACACAUGUACUGUAGGGGGGAGUGCAUGGGGUAAGAUGUGCUGGCGUAUGCUUAAGCUUCCUCUGGGUAAUUAAAAAUUAUACAGAGGUACACCUAUAUUUCAUGAUUAUUUUUAUCAGUUGAAAUUAUAAGACAGUAUCUAUUACACAUGCUAUUUAAACUAUACCUUAUAUUAAAAGAAAUGUGGUCAAGUGGCUCAACUUCCUGCGCCAUGCAGGGUAAAUUAAACAAAUUGCUUUUUAACAGUAAACAUAUAUGUUAUUACAGUUAAAUGCUUAAACAUAAUUUAAUAAUAUAUUGUCCUAUUCUAAAGUGCUUUGUAUUAAUAGUUUGAAAUUCUACUUGUCCUACACCGUUUGUGUUACAGACAAGAAUGAUGAAACCUCAAUCUUUUGGCUUGUUCAGAUGAGCUUUUACUCACUGAACAUAUGAUCUUAUAUAAAAAGAUGAAGAAAUCUAUGUAUAAAAACUAGUGCUGUCAAGCAAUUAAUCGCAUUGAAAAUAAAAGUUUUUGUUUAGAUAACAUAUUGUGUACUGUUUAAUAUUUAUUAUGCAUAUAUAAAUACACACACACACACACACACACACACACAUAUAUAUAUGGAAAAAGUGUUAUGUUUAUAUUAUAAAUAUAUUUAUAUAUAAUAUAGAUUAUAUGAAUAUAAAUAUAUACAUGUAAAUACUUUGUGUGUAUUUAUAUAUACAUAAUAAAUAUACAUAGCACACACACAUUUAUAAUGUGAACAAACACUUUUAUUUUAGAUGCAAUUAAUCACAAUUAAUUGUUUGACAGCACUAAUA
rnacentral:lncRNA from 12 species